UGGGGAAUUUUGGACAAUGGGCGAAAGCCUGAUCCAGCCAUGCCGCGUGAGUGAAGAAGGCCUUCGGGUUGUAAAGCUCUUUUAGUCGGAAAGAAAGAGUUGCAAUGAAUAAUUGUGAUUUAUGACGGUACCGACAGAAAAAGCACCGGCUAACUACGUGCCAGCAGCCGCGGUAAUACGUAGGGUGCGAGCGUUAAUCGGAAUUACUGGGCGUAAGGGGUGCGCAGGCGGUUUCGCAAGUCAGAUGUGAAAGCCCCGGGCUUAACCUGGGAAUUGCGUUUGAAACUACAAGGCUAGAGUGCAGCAGAGGGGAGUGGAAUUCCAAGUGUAGCAGUGAAAUGCGUAGAGAUGUGGAAGAACACCGAUGGCGAAGGCAGCUCCCUGGGUUGACACUGACGCUCAUGCACGAAAGCGUGGGGAGCAAACA
rnacentral:rRNA from 1 species